GGCAAAGAGUAGCUGCUGUUAUCGGGGUUGCAAAGGGAAUCCAGUUCCUGCAUACAGUUACUGUGCCCGGCAUUGUGGGAAAUGAUCUCAGUAUAGAAAAUAUCUUGCUAGAUGAAACUCUGACAGCAAAAAUCAGCAACUAUAAUCUUCCAGUUUUGCCAAAGAAUAAGAAUAACAGGAUUGACUCUGAAAGCCCUUUUAGUCUGGUUGAAGACACAAAUAUUGGCAGUAGUCUUAAUUUGGAGCAGGGUGAGAAAAAAGAUAUUUAUCAACUGGGACUGAUUCUCUUAGAAAUUAUCACCGGUAAACCUACUGAUUCCCA
rnacentral:misc_RNA from 1 species